UACAGAGGGGGCAAGCGUUAUUCGGAAUUAUUGGGCGUAAAGGGCUCGUAGGCGGUUUUUUAAGUCGGAUGUGCAAUCCCCAGGCUCAACCUGGGAACUGCAUCCGAGACUGGAAGGCUAGAGUACUGGAGAGGGUGGUGGAAUUCCUCGUGUAGCGGUGAAAUGCGUAGAGAUGAGGAGGAACACCAGUGGCGAAGGCGGCCACCUGGACAGUACCUGCCGCUGAGGCGCGAUAGCGUGGGUAGCAACCAGG
rnacentral:rRNA from 1 species